GGUGCAUUUCACAUAAGAGGGAAACGGACAAUACAUUUGUGUCCUCCACUGUUUGGCAGUUUAUCGUCUCCCAAACACGGUUAAAGACUUUUUGAAGUAAAGAGGAGCAUCUCAUCUGGACCUGAUGUCUAUCAUGGAUAUCUAACUGCAGUACUACGUUGGGGCCAGAUUUGAGCUGUUUGUUCCAGACCAGGACUCUGGCUGAGGAGAGCUGAUGGAGGAGCCAAGACUCUGGAGGACGACAUCACUCUACCAACAAGGAUCCUAGUCAGUUUGCAUAAAAGCCAAAUUACAUUUGUAACCAGACCAGGAAUCUGGAGGACUGACGGAGAAGCCAUACCUCUGGAAGGCAAAUCCUGAGGACGACCAGGACUCUACCAUCAAGGAUUCCUCACACACCUGAGCUGAACCUCACCUGAUCCUGUUUGGUCGGGGUCAGACUCACCUGAGCUGAACCCCACCUGAUCCUGCUGGUCCCGUCUCCUCAGUUUCUUAGCCUCGUCUUCCAGAAGUCCUGCUGAACUCAGCGGUCUGAUCCCGAUGGAUCAUUGACCUCCAGUGGGAGUGAUCUUCUUGACCACACAAGUACCUGUGUGCUUCCACACGCCUUACCCUGACGUCUGUCACUAACCUCACUACUUCACAAAUCUCUGCUCCUUACCUUCUUCUUCCUUCUCCGUGGUUCGAACCUUUACUCUGAAGGAGUGUCUUCUUGAACCUUUACACUGAAGGACCGUCUUCCUGCCCUCAGAGGGUUCAGCGUUAGGGUUGAGAGUCAGGGUUUAGAGUCAGGGACAGAGCUGGUCAGGGAGGACUGGUUUUACACAAACCCCUUCAUUUGCUUUUGUGAAUGGUGGUGACAUUUUGAAAUGAUUAAUUUGGGAAAAUGUUUUCCUCUGCUUUCCUUUGCAAAAGUAUGUAUUCAACUUCUGUCAAGUGUUUUUGUUUAUACUGUAUAUUAAAAUUCUACAUUGAC